UACGUAGGGUGCAAGCGUUAAUCGGAAUUACUGGGCGUAAAGAGCGUGUAGGCGGCUAGGUAGGUCCGUUGUGAAAACUCGAGGCUCAACCUCGAGACGCCGGUGGAAACCAUCUAGCUAGAGUCCGGAAGAGGAGAGUGGAAUUCCUGGUGUAGCGGUGAAAUGCGCAGAUAUCAGGAAGAACACCCGUGGCGAAGGCGGCUCUCUGGGACGUGACUGACGCUGAGACGCGAAAGCGUGGGGAGCGAACAGG
rnacentral:rRNA from 1 species